UACGGGGGGGGCAAGCGUUGUUCGGAAUUACUGGGCGUAAAGGGCUCGUAGGCGGCCAACUAAGUCAGACGUGAAAUCCCUCGGCUUAACCGGGGAACUGCGUCUGAUACUGGAUGGCUUGAGGUUGGGAGAGGGAUGCGGAAUUCCAGGUGUAGCGGUGAAAUGCGUAGAUAUCUGGAGGAACACCGGUGGCGAAGGCGGCAUCCUGGACCAAUUCUGACGCUGAGUGAGCGAAAGCCAGGGGAGCAAACGGGG
rnacentral:rRNA from 1 species